rnacentral:misc_RNA from 1 species
GGAACAGAUAUAGUGUCAUGGAGGGAGCAGCUCUAUAUUUUGAUGAUUGUUAAGUUUCUGCUUGUGCCAAGCAAGAGCAUUAUGUUUUCUGAAGCUGCUGUGUCAAAAUUAAAGAAAGCAAUUGCACUAUGUGGAUAAAUUAAAUUUAAAUGCGCAACUGGUAGCCCGGUAGUCAAGUCUUUGUCUUGUAGUGCAGGCAGUUAAGGUUUGAGGUUCCCCUCAAGUAUCCUUUACUUUGAACUGAAAGAAGGGGGCCUUUGUGUAUGAUCAUCAGUUAAGAUCUGCUGUUAUUUUAGAUAACUGCAAUUAUGUCAUUCAAAGUGACAGAAAUGGGUUUGGGGUG